rnacentral:rRNA from 1 species
GAUGAACGCUGGCGGCGUGCUUAACACAUGCAAGUCGAACGGUGAAGCCAAGCUUGCUUGGUGGAUCAGUGGCGAACGGGUGAGUAACACGUGAGCAACCUGCCCUGGACUCUGGGAUAAGCGCUGGAAACGGUGUCUAAUACUGGAUAUGAGAUGUGAUCGCAUGGUCAUGUUUGGAAAGAUUUUUCGGUCUGGGAUGGGCUCGCGGCCUAUCAGCUUGUUGGUGAGGUAAUGGCUCACCAAGGCGUCGACGGGUAGCCGGCCUGAGAGGGUGACCGGCCACACUGGGACUGAGACACGGCCCAGACUCCUACGGGAGGCAGCAGUGGGGAAUAUUGCACAAUGGGCGGAAGCCUGAUGCAGCAACGCCGCGUGAGGGAUGACGGCCUUCGGGUUGUAAACCUCUUUUAGCAGGGAAGAAGCGUAAGUGACGGUACCUGCAGAAAAAGCGCCGGCUAACUACGUGCCAGCAGCCGCGGUAAUACGUAGGGCGCAAGCGUUAUCCGGAAUUAUUGGGCGUAAAGAGCUCGUAGGCGGUUUGUCGCGUCUGCUGUGAAAUCCCGAGGCUCAACCUCGGGUCUGCAGUGGGUACGGGCAGACUAGAGUGCGGUAGGGGAGAUUGGAAUUCCUGGUGUAGCGGUGGAAUGCGCAGAUAUCAGGAGGAACACCGAUGGCGAAGGCAGAUCUCUGGGCCGUAACUGACGCUGAGGAGCGAAAGGGUGGGGAGCAAACAGGCUUAGAUACCCUGGUAGUCCACCCCGUAAACGUUGGGAACUAGUUGUGGGGACCAUUCCACGGUUUCCGUGACGCAGCUAACGCAUUAAGUUCCCCGCCUGGGGAGUACGGCCGCAAGGCUAAAACUCAAAGGAAUUGACGGGGACCCGCACAAGCGGCGGAGCAUGCGGAUUAAUUCGAUGCAACGCGAAGAACCUUACCAAGGCUUGACAUACACCAGAACACCGUAGAAAUACGGGACUCUUUGGACACUGGUGAACAGGUGGUGCAUGGUUGUCGUCAGCUCGUGUCGUGAGAUGUUGGGUUAAGUCCCGCAACGAGCGCAACCCUCGUUCUAUGUUGCCAGCACGUAAUGGUGGGAACUC